rfam:Gossypium arboreum cultivar AKA8401 contig_2618_3, whole genome shotgun sequence.
UAUUAAAAAUUUCAUCAAUUUGUACCAUUAAAAACUGGCGUGGUUAAUGGAAUAAUUAGAUAAUAACACGUGUCAUGUCACGUUUACCUCAUGUUGAUAUACAGGGACCCAUUUUUAAUAGUAGAAAUUGAUGAAAUUUUUAAUA